rnacentral:lncRNA from 10 species
CUGGUCCAAACAUCUGCCUUCCUCUGGGUCCAAGUAGCAGGGCAGAGUCUCCAGGAAACCGGCACACAGGUGGGGACUCCGUGCCGCAGGAGGAGGAGCUUCGGCCCUCAGUGUGUGUUCUGCUGCGGAGGUGAGUGCACCUGCAGAACAGGACAGGAAGUAGUCCAAAGCAUUGAGGGCUGAGGGCUGGUGCCCCAGGCCUUAGUGGGGGCCGUGGGGGCCUGAAAGGAGGGUCGUGGAGGCGGGGCCAGCCUGGGAGAGAAGCUGGAGGAUUCCCACCUCUGGCCAGAAAGCCUUGGCAACUCGCCCACAGUCCCAGAGCAGCCAGGGCAGCAGCCAGUCUGGGGAGACCCCACAGAGCCCCUGGCCUCACUCCUCCGCUCCCCCGACUUCCUGCUGGACCCCCAUUGGCAGAAUCAAGGGUGCUGUCGGUGCAGUUGGAAGAGGUCAGCUUCCAGGGCCCACAGGCUUAUCCACUCUGGAGGCUCUGAUCAUCACCUUGGGAGACUGGGAGAGAGGAGGAGAGAGCUGAAGACCAAGCACAGAGAAGAAGGCUGAGAGGCUAACGAGGAGGCUAAGGAGGAGGAGAGACCACUGAGCGGGGAUUCGGACAGAGUAAGGAGGGUGACACAGCCCCACUCGCUGCUGCAGCCCAAGCAAGGCCUCUCCACACCCAGUCUCUUCACCUGGCCCAGGAGAUUGUUGGAUGGAGGCUCUAAGCCAGCUCUGAAAGACACUGCCCCAGAGCAGGAAUCGUUUCUCCUCCCCUUUUACCCCAUGAGCACCAGUUCUGGAAUCUGAAGUCACACCUUGGUCCCAGACUUCCUGACCUCGAAAUUCUGGCAACCGGCCUCUAGAAGCACUGGCAGAGCUCUGGUUGAACUACUGCAUUCCCCUGAUGCUCAAGAACCCCACACUUCCUCACCGUUGUGUAAGGGACCCUGAAGAACAGCAGCUGCUCAGUGAGGCUCCUGCAGGAUCCCAGGGCUUCCCAGAGCCCCCAGGUUCAUCAUUCCAUUGCAGGCUAGCUGGUGCUUCUCCCUCCUACACUGAGCUAUCUCUUGUUCCUCACCCCUCCGCACCCCCACGCACUCCUCGCCCCGACACGCACUCACAGCGCACCAGGAAGCAGAGCGUAUCGACAGCCAUUUUUCUCCUGUCUGGGCUCUGCCAUGUGGAUGAUAAAGGCAGUCCUGGCCUCUGCUGGAGACUCCAUGGCUAAUUAGAUCCAGAUGUGGCUUAAUUAGUCCGUCGGCAGGAGGGCUGUCCGGCCUGGCCGGCACCUGAGCCCUUCCUGACGCAGUCCCAGGACCCUGCGGCUGGGGAGGGGCACGUGUCAUGCCCUGUCCCCGCUCCCAUCCAUGGAGGAACCCAUUGACUCAAUGUGUCUUCUAAAGCCUCCCAAGAAGGCGUGUCCCCAGGGGCCCUGCUCAGUUCUCUGGAAACCCUCAGGCAGGGUGGGUCUGCGCUGGGACCUCAGGGGCACAUUCCCUUCUCCGGGGCUCCUUCUGGAGUGAAAGAGGCUGUAUUUUCCUUACAGCCUCCUGGAUCAGUUGUUGUCAAGCUCAUGGGCCAUGAGAGGAGAGGGCUUAUUCAUACUCAGCUUGCCAAGCUCCACCCCCAGAGUCUGUGGUGCAGGGGGUCUGGGGUGAGCCCCGGAAUCUGCAUUUCUACCAAGUUCCGCAGUGACACUGAUGCUGCCAGUCCAGCCUCACUCUGGGAACCUCUGCUCUGGAUGAGUGCAAGGUCUCAAGCUUGACAGCCCAGGAGAACCGUCUCAGAGGCUUCAGCGUUCUAAGGCCUUCCACCCUCCUCCCAGGAAAUGAAUACAGGGUGGACUUUGGGGGCCUCAGCAGCCAUUUCCUCUUCUAAGUAGGGGAACAGCAGCACUGCAGACAGGGGUGGACCAAACUGUCAGGGGCUCCCAUGAUGCCCCAGGACUUGCCACCAUUUGGGUGGGCCUUAUCCAUCCCAUUUUGCGGAUGAGAAAACUGAAGCCCAAAAACCUCCAGAAGCCAGGUGCAGUGGCACACACCUGUAAUCCCAGCACUUUAGGAGGCUGAGGCAAGAGGAUAACUUGAGCCCAGGAGGCUGAGGCUGCAGUGAGCUAUGAUCACACCCCUACACUCCAGCUUGGGCAGCAGAGCAAGACUCUGUCUCAAAAUAAAAGCUCCAGAGAUUCACUUGGGGUUACUCUUAUUUAGGGACUGUCUGAUCCCAAAUUUAUGCUGUUCCAUCAAGUCCUGCAGCCUCCACUGGACUCUGCAGCUUCCAUUCGUCUCACCUUGCCCAGGUCUUGGAGACUGCUCUUCCCAGAAGUGGGGCCUGAGGCUGUGGCUGGGAAACCCAGGAGGUAACCUGGCCCUGCCCCAGAGAUGAUCGCUUCUUAUUCCCACAGAGUCCAAGACAGUGAUCCUCGUGAUCCAGGGGCCCUCGUCCAAUGGUGAUGAGGACCCAUGAUCCUUCCAGCUGCUGGCUCUGCCUCUCCAACCAGGGACUUCAGAGCAAUGCACGCACCUGCACCAGGCAGGCCAGGAGUCAACAGCAGGGAGGCAGUGAGAGGCUUUGCAGCGGCAUCACUCCCACUCAUGUUCCAUCACACCCUGGCUUGUGGCCUCACCUGAGUACAGGGGCUGCUGGAAAAUGUGCUCCAGCUGGGCCCAAGGAGGGGAAAGAGGCUUGUGAAUGGCCAGCCAGUCACCACCACCUCUGAGACUGAACAUAAUGUGGCAGGGGGACUCCACUCCGAGGGAUUUACCCAAAAGAAAUGCAGACAUUGCUGCAAAAGACACGUUCACAGAAUGUUCACAACAGCCUUAUUCCUAACCGCCCUCCAGCUGGAGGCAACCCAAACGUCCUCUACAGAUGAAUGGAGAAACAAAGGGUGGUGCAUGUGAACAAUGCAGCACUACUCGGCAACAACAACCAAAAAAAGGUAAAUCAAUGACUGAUAGCAGCGGCAGCAAGGAAAAACCUCGGAAACAUCACCCUGGGUGAAAGAAACCAGAAACAAAUGGGCACAUGCAUGUGAUCCCAUGACACGGCAUUCCAAAACCACCCUCAAGUGGCAGAAAGCAGAUUGCGGGUGCCUGAGGCCAGGGUGGGGAGGGGGUGGCCUGCAAAGCAGAGGGAGGAUGGAGAUGCCCCAGGUCCCCCUUGGGUGACAGUUACAUGGGUGUGUACAUUCAUCAAAGCUCAGCAAACUGUACACCUCAAGUGGGGGCAUUGUACUGGAGGUAAAUU